rnacentral:rRNA from 1 species
AUUGAACGCUGGCGGUAUGCUUAACACAUGCAAGUCGAACGGUAACAGGCCUUCGGGCGCUGACGAGUGGCGGACGGGUGAGUAACGCGUAGGAAUCUGCCUCAUAGUGGGGGACAACGUGUGGAAACGCACGCUAAUACCGCAUACGCCCUACGGGGGAAAGCGGGGGACCUUCGGGCCUCGCGCUAUGAGAUGAGCCUGCGUUAGAUUAGCUAGUUGGUAGGGUAAAGGCCUACCAAGGCGACGAUCUAUAGCUGGUCUGAGAGGACGAUCAGACACACUGGGACUGAGACACGGCCCAGACUCCUACGGGAGGCAGCAGUGGGGAAUAUUGGACAAUGGGCGCAAGCCUGAUCCAGCAAUACCGCGUGUGUGAAGAAGGCCCUAGGGUUGUAAAGCACUUUCAAUAGGGAGGAAAACCUGUCGGUCAAUACCCGGCAGCUUGACAUUACCUAUACAAGAAGCACCGGCUAACUCCGUGCCAGCAGCCGCCGUAAUAU